AAUUGAUCUGGUUCAGGAUGAACGCUAGCUACAGGCUUAACACAUGCAAGGUCGAGGGGCAUCAGGUAUCUAGCUUGCUAGGUAUGCUGGCGACCGGCGCACGGGUGCGUAACACGUAUCCAACCUGCCCGCAGCUCAGGGACAGCCUUUCGAAAGAAAGAUUAAUACCUGACGGUCUCUACCGGGGACAUCCCCGGCAGAGUAAAGAUUCAUCGGCGGCGGAUGGGGAUGCGUCCGAUUAGCUGGUCGGCGGGGUAACGCCCACCGAGGCGACGAUCGGUAGGGGCUCUGAGAGGAGGGUCCCCCACACUGGAACUGAGACACGGUCCAGACUCCUACGGGAGGCAGCAGUGAGGAAUAUUGGUCAAUGGGCGAGAGCCUGAACCAGCCAAGUAGCGUGAGGGGAAUGACUGCCCUAUGGGUUGUAAACCUCUUUUGUUUGGGAAUAACAUGCCCCACGCGUGGGGCACUGCAUGUACCUUACGAAUAAGCAUCGGCUAAUUCCGUGCCAGCCGCGGC
rnacentral:rRNA from 1 species